UUACGACCAAAUCACUUUGAAACACCGGGUCCCAUACGAUCAUCGUAGUUAAGUAACGUCGAGUCUUGUCAGUACCUAGAUGGGUGACCGAUUGGGAAUACCUGCUGCUGUAAG